GGGCCCGUGGGGUAGAGGAAAUCCUGAGGGCCUCCGGAGCCCUCGACCCGGGUUCAAUUCCCGGCGGGCCCG
rnacentral:tRNA from 1 species